rnacentral:tRNA from 1 species
GUGGUGCAGUGGUUAAGCACUUGGCUGCUAACCGAAUGGUCAGUGGUUCAAACCCACUC